UCUCUCUCUCUCUCUCUCUCUCUCUUUCUCUCUGUCUCUUCUAUCGCAUCUAUCGAGCUAUUUCUGUAUCAAUUUCUAAGUUGUGUGAUAAGAUCUGCUAAUCUGAAAUAUUUAUUAAUUGUAAUUGCAAAGGUUUGAGAAAACAAAACUAUUUUCGUCUGCUGCUACAUCAACUCAACUUUAAUUCAAUUGUAUUCAAAGCCUGUAUCUACACUAUAAUUAAGGAAAUUCAUGGCUAUUUCAGAAAAAAUAUUUGGCUUAACAGGGUAAUAUGAAAGUUUGACGAUGAAAAUUUUCAAAAGAGACAUUCCACGUGCGAUAUUUAAACUAUUCGUAUCUCUAUUGAAUUUUGAAUGAAAUAUAUGCUCAAAGACUGAAAACUGAAGCCAGCAGGAUUGGACUUGCGAUCAACGUUUCGAAGACAAAAUACAUGAGAGGAAGAGGUUCUAGAGACGACAAUGUGAACCUCCCACUCGAGUUCGGAUUGACGGUGACGAAAUCGAAAUGGUCGACGAAUUCAUGUAUUCGGGCUCACUGGUAACCGACGACAAUGAUAACAGCAGAGAAAUUCAGAGACGGAUCUUGGCGGGAAAUCAUGCCUACUUUGGACUCCGGAGGACGCUCCGAUCGAACAAAAUUCGCCGCCGCACGAAGUUGAUUAUCUACAAGACGCUGAUUAGGUCGGUAGUCCUCUACGGCCACGAGACCUGGACUAUGCUCGUGGAGGACCAACGCGUCCUUGGAGUUUUCGAACGAAAGGUGUUGCGUACCAUUUAUGGUGGCGUGCAGAUGGAAGACGGAACGUUGCGCAGGCAAAUGAACCAUGAGUUGUAUCAGCUGCACAUUCGUUGUAUUGGUACGAACUUUCAUGAAAAAUAACGGAUCAAAGACCAAAGAUAUCCACAAAUUAGAUCCAGGAAAAGAAGUCUCCCAAAGUACCCACUCUCGAUGGGGGAUGCAACUACAAUGUGUCUUCUAACUUAUCGUCGUCCAUAUCUGGAUAUACUGAGUAGUUUGUACCAUUUCUUUUUCACAGUAUUGGUCUGUAUAGGACUUAUGUAUCCAUAUUUCCUGCACGAGAAUUCCGAACGAAACAAUAUGAAAGCUAUAAGGAUGAAUGGAAAGAGACUGCAUUGCAAUCAGCCUAGACAUUUCACACUAUUUACUUCAAUGCAAAUAAAAACUUUGAAAUAUUUACCUGUCUCAUUCACGUAUCGCAUUCUCCCUGUCGUUCUCUGUUCAAGGGACUUGAAAGCACAUGUGACCUUGUCUCACUUUACUAUAUUCAAUUGCGCGUUAAAAUACUGGACCAGUAAAUUCUAUUCUGUACAUAAAUCUGUUUUUCGGGAAUAUGUGACCAAAAAGUAAACUUUAUAAGGUUACGAGAAUUAAACUCCCCCUUUGAGUCGCGAAACUCGGUGCGCCAAAGAAGGAAUCGAUCCCCCAGAACCACUCAGCGAACUUGGAUUUCCUCAGGGAAACACUUUAUUCAAAGGAAAAUUCAAACUUAAAUUUCUAAUCUACUUCCUUUAAUUUUUCCAAUUCACUUUCUUAUAACUACUAUAUACAAUUCUUAGGCCUACUAUUUACACUAUUUACACUCUUCUUCUUGCGAUCACCACCAAUCUUACCAAUUUCGCAGACUCCAAACUGGUCCAGAUCCAAAACCUCCCGUCCUGUUGAUGAAACACAAUCAAUUUUUUUAAACAAAAAACGAUGUUCACUUUCGCGCCUUACAAAUUUAAAUUCAAAUUCAGAGCUAUUGUGACCUUUGCCACCCUUUUGUUAGCUCUUCUAUACCAAAAAACAAACUUUACUCUCUAUCGAUUUUUUUUAAAUAGGCGGCGAAACAAUAAUUUCCCUCUUUUAUAUUAACGCUCUUCUAUACAAUUUCCAAGACGGAAACCCUUCCAGAGAUGCAGUCAGGUUCAACCGUCAUUUUGGUCUUUUUUUGAGAACAGACGAGCUUGUCUGCGCGUUAUCAUCGUUAUCAUCAUUAUCAUCUGCUUCAUCGACGGGCGAGUAAUAACGCUCGAUGUAUGGUUGUCUCAUCUAGCUUCGUAUCUGCUAUCCUGCUGUCAUGUUUGUUCGGGUGAAUUGGUGGUGAUCGUCGAUGGUGAUCGCAUGCAUUUUAUUUUCAGGCAAAGAUGGUUCUGCGGCCCGCGAAAAAAACGAAGCGGUAGCUUACAAUACCCCUCAACUUCGGAAAAUAAAAUUUGUGUAAACUUAACUUGUUUGCACAAAUUUCAUUGCGAUUUCAGAAGAAACUAUGCAUUUUACGGACGACUAAUCAGACUACUGGAUGCUCAUCUUACAUCUUCCAAUUUAAUCGCGACAAUGCAAAGCUCUUCGCGUAUUUUUCUAUUGUCCAGAUAAUACCAGUGAAGGAAUCGCCCUAACCUCAAAAUGAUCCAAUUCUCUCUCUUCCACAUAAUAAUUCUUCUCCUUCUUUCCUAAACUCCAUGAUUCUAUGUGCUUUCUUCAUUUCAAAACCAUAGUAAUGAUAAAUCGCCAAAUCCGAUUCGUCAACCAAAUUUGUACAUAAACACAUAAACUUCAAGAUCCCUUUUAAUCUCCCAAUCUAGCAUCUUCUUUUUUUACCCAAUGAUCCAUUGAGAAAUAAUGCUUUUCUUCAUUAUUCGCGAGAUAAUUUUUUUUUUAAAUAUUUCUUUUUCUUUUUAGGAAGCCUCCAAAUUUUUCCAGCUAAUAUAAGCGCGCGCUGGAUAUAUUGAAUGUGAUCUGUACCCAUAAUACUACAGGAAAUUAUUCGCAUCCAAUAUUGAACAUCUCAUUAGUUUUCUAUCUGAUUCUAUCAUUGAUAUUGACUCAUUUUAAAGUUUCUGGUUGCCGUGAAUAGUUCAUUUCUGCAAUUCGAGGAUUGAAUCGAGGAAUGUUCUGGGAGGUUUUUGAUUCUUGGACCCGCAACUGUAUGCUGUAAUCAACAUCAUCUAACUGCUUGCAAUAGUAUUGUAACUCUACGAGAUUUCUGACUGAAGACAUGUAGGGAGCUAAUCGAAAUAAGUAGGUUGAGUUUAGAUUUUCUUUAAGUAGUUUAACCUUUUCUCGAUCAGAUAGCAUAUAGGACAAUUCUUUGAAAAGUUUUUCCAUACGCAGAUAAUAAUGAUCAAAAGUUUCAUCAUCUUUCUGUACGGUUGCUAAAAUCUCUCGAUACUUCAUUGAGUCAUGAUUAGCCGGUAAAUAAAAUUUGUAUAGGCCCUCUUUUAUAUCUUCCCACGUCCGAAAGCUUUGAUAAAAGGUUAAAUACCAUUCCCUUGCCUGCCCUGAGAACAAAAAAAAACGCAUUCCGCUUCAAUUCUUCAUCCGUAACAUUCUGAGAAAUUUUCAAUAAAUUAAUUGUAUCAGAAAAUUGGGACAACGAUAACCCUUUACCGUCUCCACUAAAGGUAACAUUCUAUCUGGCAACAACUGAUUUAUCCGCUUGUUUUGGUUCUGUAACAUUCUGUAUCACUAUUUGCUUUUCCUCUUUGUUCCUAAACACUGCAGACUUCCGAUCAAGAAAAGACAUAUCAAAAUUAAAUUUAUCGAUUAUUUCCGGAAACGUUUCUUGUCUUUGCUGGUAUUUCCGCAAAAUAUUCAUUGCUGCUCGAAGCUCAUCACAUUCAUUUUUGGUUAGAUACGUAUUGUUCAACAUUUCAUCAUGAGUUGAUUUAUUAAGCUCCUCAUUAUUAUCUAAACCUUCUGCUACACUUUUAUCCAAAUCUUCACCAUUUUGAUUAUGCUGCUCGUUCAACAAUGGCGAUGAUUCGCGAUCAUUAUAUUACUCAAACAGACUUUUUUCUCGCCCUUCCUGUCCUAUCAGUCGUUUCACAAAAUCAAUAAAAGCCGGUUUACUAUUUCUAAUAACUUCUAAACGUUCGUGUUCUAGUUCUGCCUUUUCAAGACGAUCUAAUCUUUUCGCGGUGUGGACCGUUUUGGUCAUAAGCUUCUGUAAUUCAAUCUGAUCACUUGGAAUUCCUGUAAAUGAAAAAUGUACUAAUUUGUAUGUCAAAGCAGCUAUUUCCUCCUCUGGUUUUAUCCUUUCACUAGAGAAUAGGACGCUUUGGUUGUUUUUCUGCUCUUCUCUGAAAAAAUUUCGUAAAGCUCUUUGCUUUGCUUCUAAAGAGAAAUCUGUUCCCUGUAUUGCACGAAGUCUCAACUCGUAGUCUAACUCUUCAUCACUCAAAUAAGCAACAUUAAUAUCUUUUGAAACUAUUUCCUCCAUUUCGAAACACUGGGCUACUUUUACGUUGGGCGCCAAUUAUAAGGUUACGAGAAUUAAACUCCCCCUUUGAGUCGCGAAACUCGGUGCGCUAAAGAAGGAAUCGAUCCCCCAGAACCACUCAGCGAACUUGGAUUUCCUCAGGGAUACACUUUAUUCAAAGGAAAAUUCAAACUUAAAUUUCUAAUCUACUUCCUUUAAUUUUUCCAAUUCACUUUCUUAUAACUACUAUAUACAAUUCUUAGGCCUACUAUUUACACUAUUUACACUCUUCUUCUUGCGAUCACCACCAAUCUUACCAAUUUCGCAGACUCCAAACUGGUCCAGAUCCAAAACCUCCCGUCCUGUUGAUGAAACACAAUCAAUUUUUUUUAAACAAAAAAACGAUGUUCACUUUCGCGCCUUACAAAUUUAAAUUCAAAUUCAGAGCUAUUGUGACCUUUGCCACCCUUUUGUUAGCUCUUCUAUACCAAAAAACAAACUUUACUCUCUAUCGAUUUUUUUUAAAUAGGCGGCGAAACAAUAAUUUCCCUCUUUUAUAUUAACGCUCUUCUAUACAAUUUCCAAGACGGAAACCCUUCCAGAGAUGCAGUCAGGUUCAACCGUCAUUUUGGUUUUUUUUGAGAACAGACGAGAUUGUCUGCGCGUUAUCAUCGUUAUCAUCAUUAUCAUCUGCUUCAUCGACGGGCGAGUAAUAACGCUCGAUGUAUGGUUGUCUCAUCUAGCUUCGUAUCUACUAUCCUGCUGUCAUGUUUGUUCGGGUGAAUUGGUGGUGAUCGUCGAUGGUGAUCGCAUGCAUUUUAUUUUCAGGUAAGUAUUUAAUUCCUAAUCUAAAUCUAAGUCUAAAUCCCUCCUUUAAAUAAUCCCUUUUCCAAAUUCUUAUAAAUCUACUAAAACACUAAUCUUUUUGUUUCAUGCUAUUUUUUUAGGCAAAGAUGGUUCUGCGGCCCGCGAAAAAAAACGAAGCGGUAGCUUACAACUUCGAAUUUCAAAGCAAAUUGAACGUCCCAGGUUCCUGAUAACUAAUUAAAGUCCAACAAUAAAGUAGAAACACCAGAUGAUCUUAAAACGACGCCGUCAAGUAAAGAAGCAUGAAAACAAAAAGAAUAGAACCAAAAAAGAUGGAAGCCAUAGAAAGUCCAUUACAUAUUUAUUUGCCUUUUCUCAGAAGAUGGGACUUUCGAAAACAUUUCAAAACUUUCUGAUGCAAUGGUUCUCAAAUUCGUAAAUCCGGUUUAUUCAUUUUCUUUAUUCAAAAAUGUUUUUAGCUUCAAAUAUAUGACCAUUUCAUUUUAAUUAAUUAUUUCAUUCCGCAUCUUUUUAUUAGUUUAG